UACACACCGCCCGUCACACCAUGGGAGUUGGUCUACCUGAAGACGGUGCGCUAACCCGCAAGGGAGGCAGCCGGCCACGGUAGGGUCAGCGACUGGGGUG
rnacentral:rRNA from 1 species